CCUACGGGUGGCUGCAGUGGGGAAUAUUGGACAAUGGGGGCAACCCUGAUCCAGCCAUGCCGCGUGUGUGAAGAAGGCCCUCGGGUUGUAAAGCACUUUCAGUGAGGAAGAACGCCUGGUGGUUAAUACCCAUCAGGAAAGACAUCACUCACAGAAGAAGCACCGGCUAACUCCGUGCCAGCAGCCGCGGUAAUACGGAGGGUGCGAGCGUUAAUCGGAAUUACUGGGCGUAAAGCGCGCGUAGGUGGCUUGAUAAGCCGGUUGUGAAAGCCCCGGGCUCAACCUGGGAACGGCAUCCGGAACUGUCGAGCUAGAGUGCAGGAGAGGAAGGUAGAAUUCCCGGUGUAGCGGUGAAAUGCGUAGAGAUCGGGAGGAAUACCAGUGGCGAAGGCGGCCUUCUGGACUGACACUGACACUGAGGUGCGAAAGCGUGGGUAGCAAACAGGAUUAGAUACCCUAGUAGUC
rnacentral:rRNA from 1 species